UUCCGUAUGCCUGGCAGUUUUCAGGUAUUAUUUCAUUUAUAAGGCAUUCCAAAGAGGCAGGGAUGAUGUUUGCCUCCAUUUUACAGAUGAAGAAACUGAAGCUCAGAGAAGCUAAGAGACUUCCUAAGUUAUGCGGUGUUUGAGCAUAGCCGAGAUUUGAGCCCAGGUCUGCCUGCUAACAACCUACUUCUCUUGCACUACGCCACACUGCCCUAAAGCGGAGUUUAAAUAGCUCUUUUACAGAGGGAUAAAUAAGAUGGCGGGGAUCUCUGUCCCAAUGUCUGAUGCUAUGUGUAUUCCUCAUGCUGGCAGAUAGAGGCAGACUCAGUCGGAAACCAAAAGAUAUUAAAGUGACAUCAUCUCCUCGUCCUCCCCUUAUGAUGAACAGUGUCCUCAAACAAGCCAAGAAGUAAUAUAACUUUAUAUUUACAAGACUGUGUGACAAAAUUACUGCAUGAGACUGGAGCUGUAUGAAACGAUUAAAAGAAAUACAGAUGGCAUAAUGUUUUUUUUCCCCCUUCCAACAGAUUUGUGCCAGAUGUGUGAAUAUUGAUAAUUUCUCUGGGGCUCAACUCAAGGCACAAUAUAGGUUUCUGUUUGAUGGGGGAAUGAGAGAGUGAAAAUCCAUCCCAGCGAUGGUAUUUACAGGAAAUGUUUUGCCUCUUCUUCCAAAUCUGUCAAAGCAGAACCAGAAAUCCCAAAUUUCCAAAUGAGCCUCUGAGUCACCCUUUGUUCUGGACCCAAUUUUUAUCUCCCUAGUAAUUGACAGACUGGAAAAUUCAUUUGUGAAAACAUGUGGUAGAGCUCUAAAAGUAGAGCCUCUCAACUAGCUAAGCCUGUCUUUGUGCAUCAAUUUAGAGCAUGAGUGAUACCGAAAUUUCAGAAAGCAUCUUGGGAAGGUAUCUAUUUUAUCAUACCUUCUCUUUAUUAACUUAGUCAUAAAAAAUGCUUUAAUGGAAUAAUAAUUUUCAGCAUUUACAAUGGGAAAACUUGAAAAAAAAAUUCCAAAGCUUUUCUAUUGUUCUUUUUAUUAUUUUGUGAUGAGUGAACCCAUUUUAAAAUAUGAUUCUGGG
rnacentral:lncRNA from 1 species